rnacentral:rRNA from 1 species
CACUCCUACGGGAGGCAGCAGUGGGGAAUAUUGCACAAUGGGCGCAAGCCUGAUGCAGCCAUGCCGCGUGUAUGAAGAAGGCCUUCGGGUUGUAAAGUACUUUCAGCGGGGAGGAAGGCGAUAAGGUUAAUAACCUUGUCGAUUGACGUUACCCGCAGAAGAAGCACCGGCUAACUCCGUGCCAGCAGCCGCGGUAAUACGGAGGGUGCAAGCGUUAAUCGGAAUUACUGGGCGUAAAGCGCACGCAGGCGGUCUGUCAAGUCGGAUGUGAAAUCCCCGGGCUCAACCUGGGAACUGCAUUCGAAACUGGCAGGCUAGAGUCUUGUAGAGGGGGGUAGAAUUCCAGGUGUAGCGGUGAAAUGCGUAGAGAUCUGGAGGAAUACCGGUGGCGAAGGCGGCCCCCUGGACAAAGACUGACGCUCAGGUGCGAAAGCGUGGGGAGCAAACAGGAUUAGAAACCCUUGUAGUCCCAUG